GCCCGGGUGGCGGAAUUGGUAGACGCAUCGGACUCAAAAUCCGACGGUAGCGAUACUGUGCGGGUUCGAGUCCCGCCCCGGGUA
rnacentral:tRNA from 1 species